UACGAAGGGUGCAAGCGUUACUCGGAAUUACUGGGCGUAAAGCGUGCGUAGGUGGUUUGUUAAGUCUGAUGUGAAAGCCCUGGGCUCAACCUGGGAAUUGCAUUGGAUACUGGCAGGCUAGAGUGCGGUAGAGGGUAGUGGAAUUCCCGGUGUAGCAGUGAAAUGCGUAGAGAUCGGGAGGAACACCAGUGGCGAAGGCGACUACCUGGACCAGCACUGACACUGAGGCACGAAAGCUAGGGGAGCGAACGGG
rnacentral:rRNA from 1 species